CUGUUUUCUCUGAAAGAGAAAAAAAAGAAGAAGAAGGAAAAAAAAUGGUUUUCUUGACUGUUUUUUAUUGGAAUCUUAAUGAGACCAUAAUUACAGCAGCAAAAAAAAAAAAAAAAAAGGGGGGGGGGGGGGGGGGGAAGAGGAAAAAAUGCAGCUCUUAAAGGUUUGCUGUUACUGUACAUGCAGGCCUUCGAUUUAAGAAAAAAAAGUUUUAAAAACUAUUUAUUUUCCAAAGUGGUGCAAGGGAGGGAAAAAAAAAUGACUUAGCUAAGUAAGUCUUGUCCAUUUAUGUGCUUAGUCUGUAUUUUCUUUUUCUACAAAAAUAUAUAUGAAUAAAUGUUGAAAGUAGGCAGGUUCUGUUUGCCUUGGCUCUCCCUUUUAUCUCGUUUCAUUGUGUCACGGUUACAAGGGCUGCUCUGGGAGCUCGCUGCUCUGCUGUCCCUGCCCAUCCCAGUGUGGUCCCGCAUGGACUGAGUGUUCUGCACCUUGUAGGUCCACAGAGACCACCUUCCCUCUGUGUUUUCCUCCAUUCCUUAACCUCAUCCACAACUCGUUUCCUUCCUGGGUUGGUCACAAUGUGAAUUUGCUUCUCAUCAACAGGGUUUGGUGUCUGUAGUUCAUCCAUGGAAUAAUUCAAGAUUUCCAACCUUUUCUCAUCUUUUUAUUCGUGCUUGUUUAUUUUUCUUCAUCUUCUUUGCCUCUCAUUUUGCUCCAGUUUUCCGUGCCUUUCUUUCACUUCUUUCCACCUCUGUGUCUCAUGCUGCCUUCUGACAGAUGCCACUUUAAGUGAGGGGCAAGCGUGUUAAAAUAAAGUCCCUUUUUUUUCUCCCAAGGAAGAAAGUGUCCAUUUCAUAUCCCAUACGUCCAUCAAAGCCAAUGGAGACGCAGAGCACGACAGGCGCGUUCUGUGCUUCAGACCUCUGGGUAUUGUGCCUGGGGAUCCAACCUGUGGAAAUUGAAGUCUCUGAGGAUUCCUCUGUGACCAAAGACUGGAUUUCUCUUCUCAAAGGUGAGUACCAUGAAGCGUGCUAUCACAUGUACUGUUCUUUCCCAUAUCAUUCUGGUCAUGUGUAUAUUUGGUUAUUGCUGGAUGCUGUGAAUGGCACAGGUCACCCAUGCAGUGAUGAGCACUGCAGGUUUGUG
rnacentral:lncRNA from 1 species